rnacentral:rRNA from 1 species
GACGAACGCUGGCGGCGUGCUUAACACAUGCAAGUCGAACGGAAAGGCCCUGCUUUUGUGGGGGGCUCGAGUGGCGAAAGGGUGAGUAACACGUGAGUAACCUGCCCUUGACUUUGGGGUAACUUCAGGAAACUGGGGCUAAUACCGGAUAGGAGCUCCUGCUGCAUGGUGGGGGUUGGAAAGUUUCGGCGGUUGGGGAUGGACUCGCGGCUUAUCAGCUUGUUGGUGGGGUAGUGGCUUACCAAGGCUUUGACGGGUAGCCGGCCUGAGAGGGUGACCGGCCACAUUGGGACUGAGAUACGGCCCAGACUCCUACGGGAGGCAGCAGUGGGGAAUAUUGCACAAUGGGCGGAAGCCUGAUGCAGCAACGCCGCGUGCGGGAUGACGGCCUUCGGGUUGUAAACCGCUUUCGCCUGUGACGAAGCGUGAGUGACGGUAAUGGGUAAAGAAGCACCGGCUAACUACGUG